UGGGGAAUCUUGGACAAUGGGCGAAAGCCUGAUCCAGCCAUGCCGCGUGAGUGACGAAGGUCUUCGGAUUGUAAAGCUCUUUUGGCGGGGACGAUAAUGACGGUACCCGCAGAAUAAGCCCCGGCUAACUUCGUGCCAGCAGCCGCGGUAAUACGAAGGGGGCUAGCGUUGUUCGGAAUUACUGGGCGUAAAGCGCACGUAGGCGGAUUUGUAAGUCAGGGGUGAAAUCCCGGGGCUCAACCUCGGAACUGCCCUUGAUACUGCAAAUCUCGAGUCCGAUAGAGGUGAGUGGAAUUCCUAGUGUAGAGGUGAAAUUCGUAGAUAUUAGGAAGGACACCAGUGGCGAAGGCGGCCAACUGGCUCGAUACUGACGCUGAGGUGCGAAAGCGUGGGGAGCAAACAGGAUUAGAUACCCCCGUAGUCCCUGAGCGGGCUGGCAAGGCGCAU
rnacentral:rRNA from 1 species